UACGUAGGGCGCAAGCGUUAUCCGGAAUUAUUGGGCGUAAAGAGCUCGUAGGCGGUUUGUCGCGUCUGCCGUGAAAAGUCCGGGGCUCAACUCCGGAUCUGCGGUGGGUACGGGCAGACUAGAGUGAUGUAGGGGAGACUGGAAUUCCUGGUGUAGCGGUGAAAUGCGCAGAUAUCAGGAGGAACACCAAUGCGAAAGCAGCUUUCUGGGACGGUACUGACGCUGAGACGCGAAAGCGUGGGGAGCGAACAGG
rnacentral:rRNA from 1 species